GAAGAAACGGGGACGCAGGCGGAGCUCGAAGGGCAACGUGAGGUCUGAAUAAGCGCUCUGUACGGAGAGACAGAGACCCGGGAUGCAAGAAAGAGAGAGAGAUUGAAGCGAAAGGUCCUGAUGGCUCCCAGCUCGCCCUCUGCUAUUGGACCAAACUGAAUGAAAUUUACAAAGCCAGCAGCCAAUAGAUCUCCGCAGUCGGCCCCGUCACUACAGAAACCAAAUCCGCAGCUACAAAGCGCUUGCAAAGAGCAGCUAAUCCCAGUGCAAACCAGCUGGAACGGAGAGAUUCCCCGGGUGUGCCGGGGUGGUGGAACAGUCGCUAAGCUGUGUCAGACUCUUGCGACCCCGUGGAUUGUAGCCCGCCAAGCUCGUCUGUCCAUGGGAUUCUCCAGGAGUUCAUCUUUUCCAGCCAACUACACGCUUGUUGAUAGGACCUGGUUUUCAUCGCUGGGUUGAGGGUUCCAGUGGCCUGUGACCUUCGGGGCGUGUGCCAAGAUGCUUUGUCUGGGUUUCUGCCUCUGUGACGUGGAGCAGAUGAAAGCAAUCCCCUCAUGAUAUCCUUGUGAUAACUGAUACAGGGCUCAGGCAUGUAAGAUGCUGUAAAUAAACGUUUG
ensembl:lncRNA